CUUGCUUCUUGGCCUUUUAACUAAGAUCAAGCAUAGAAUCUGUUCUUAACUGGUUACUAUCUUACAGGUCCUCUCCAUGAGGACUAACUAUUAAAAGACUUUAUGGAGCUGGGAGGCUGCCCAGGAGCUUGCUUCAGUCAUACUGCCUAUCCCACCAGUAUUGCAUUUCCUCCAGGAGCCAAACACCAU
ensembl:snRNA U2 U2 spliceosomal RNA